rnacentral:tRNA from 1 species
GAGGUUGUAGCUCAGUGGUAGAGCACUUGUCUAGCAUGCAUGAGGCACUGGGUUCGAUCCUCAGCAUCA